rnacentral:rRNA from 1 species
GGGAUGGGCUCGCGGCCUAUCAGCUUGUUGGUGAGGUAAUGGCUCACCAAGGCGUCGACGGGUAGCCGGCCUGAGAGGGUGACCGGCCACACUGGGACUGAGACACGGCCCAGACUCCUACGGGAGGCAGCAGUGGGGAAUAUUGCACAAUGGGCGCAAGCCUGAUGCAGCAACGCCGCGUGAGGGAUGACGGCCUUCGGGUUGUAAACCUCUUUUAGCAGGGAAGAAGCGAAAGUGACGGUACCUGCAGAAAAAGCGCCGGCUAACUACGUGCCAGCAGCCGCGGUAAUACGUAGGGCGCAAGCGUUAUCCGGAAUUAUUGGGCGUAAAGAGCUCGUAGGCGGUUUGUCGCGUCUGCUGUGAAAUCCGGAGGCUCAACCUCCGGCCUGCAGUGGGUACGGGCAGACUAGAGUGCGGUAGGGGAGAUUGGAAUUCCUGGUGUAGCGGUGGAAUGCGCAGAUAUCAGGAGGAACACCGAUGGCGAAGGCAGAUCUCUGGGCCGUAACUGACGCUGAGGAGCGAAAGGGUGGGGAGCAAACAGGCUUAGAUACCCUGGUAGUCCACCCCGUAAACGUUGGGAACUAGUUG